UUGAUUACACAUAACGUUACUGCCUGACGUUAGCGUAGUAACGCUGGGAGCCUUGCAAGCUAGCAGAACAGUUUCCAACAACGCCUAGCUGUUUUAAUUACACGUUAUAUAUUGUCGAUACAAUAUAUGUAUAAAUACAAAACGUGACAGGUUGGUUUUGAAUUGUUUACCGACCAAAAGCGGGACUAGUUAACAGAAAACCUAACUCUUCAGGAAGCCAGGCCAGUCUAGCAGCAAUAUUCAUCUGUGCACCAUAUGUGAUUUCAAAAGCCCCCAGGUUCCAGUGCUUGACAUUACAUCAGCAUAUGGCAGUGAAGGAUCAAAAGAUGCCUCCUAGCUUGGACUUGUAAGACUCCCUCCAGGACCAAGCAGGAAACCACAGGAAUGAUGUUCUGAGUUGUUGAGAUAUUUCCAUCUGGACCAAAGUGGUGGACCGACCAACCGACAGGCCAACAUUGCCAUUCCUAGAGCCACACCGCUAGCAUGGCUAAAAAAGGUGUGGCAGCAGCCUCCUGCCUGGAAAUGUUGUUCCAGCACCAGGACUUUCUUCCCUGCUUUGGCCAGUGUUGCUGCAGCUGUCAACCCACCAAUACCACUCCCAAUAACAAUGACAUCCAGGUUCUGGGGCACUUUGUGAAGGCUGAAGCCUACAAAGAAACAUAAAGAGCUGAUCCCGGCUACGCGCUUUGGGGAGAGGUCGGCACAGGAUUGGACCUGAUGUCACCAAUCCCCUGUGAUGAGAUUAAACAAUCAGGAGCCAUGACCCCUGAACAGGAAGGAGGGAGGGAAGAGAACACAGAACUUGACAGAUCUGCUGACGACGUGGUGGAGAAAUGGAGACGCUGAAAUAAAACAAUAGACGUGUGAACGUCACAUCACCUGUUACUAACUGUAAACUGCAGUACACAUACCUAUAUGCUGUGGUUGACUUAACUUGUUUCUCAAUUACUUUUCACUGCUAUUUUAAAUAUAUUAUCCAUAAAUUUAACUUAUUUCUCCACUGGUAACCAGCAGCAUUUUGUUUUUGCUUUAGUAUGUCAACCAAGUGAAAAAACAAUAUUCGCUAUAAAGGUGGACAUGUGUGGUAAGAGAGGAGUGAAGCUAAGUCUUCACCCCUGUGAUUUGAUUAUAAACUUUAAUCUUGCGGUCUAUCUAAUCAGCUGCUCUAAGUCUUGCAAUGUCAUUCUAAUUAACAAAUUGAAGACUUGAAAAAAGCUACAGCCACUUUAUAUGUCACAUCAUUUAUGAAUAAAUUAAUUCCUGCUCAGUGUC